rnacentral:lncRNA from 1 species
CGCGUGUUAAUUGGCUGAAGAAUGGGGAUCGUAAUACCAGUUUUUUUCAUAAGGUAGCUGUCCAACGUCACUUUUGUAGUAGAAUUUCUAAACUGGAAGAUGGAGCUAGUAGAAGGACUAAUUCAACUGAGGAGUUUCUUCAGAUAGCUUCCGACUAUUUUGGUAAGCUUUUCUCAGCUUCAAAGUCAGGUUCGGAUGAGCAUUUGUUUGGCUUAGUAGAGAAAAAAGUUACCAAUUGUAUGAAUGAAAGGCUUUUAAGACAAUUCACGGAGGAAGAUAUUGCCUGUGCAGUUAAGUCCUUGGCGCCUUUGAAAGCCCCUGGAUUGGAUGGGUUUCCGGCCCUCUUUUUUCAACGUUAUUGGCAUAUUGUUGGGCCUGAGGUUACCCACUUUUGUUUAACUGUUCUGCAGGGACAAGCGGAUUUGAGUGUUAUUAACAAAACGCGCAUUAUCCUGAUUCCAAAGGUUGAGAAGCCAAGUAAUAUGACUCAUUUCAGACCUAUCAGCCUUUGCAAUGUCAUUUACAAAAUUAUAGUAAAAGUGUUGGUAAUACGAAUGACCGAGUAAUAUGACUUAUUUCUAAUAAUGUGCUGAUUGCUUAUGAGAUACUUCACUCUUUAAAAAUGAAGAAGAGAGGUAAGAAAGGCAAUUUUGCGCUUAAACUCGAUAUGAGUAAAGCAUAUGAUCGUGUGGAAUGGGAUUUCUUGGCAGGUAUGAUGAAGCACCUGGGUUUCAUGUGGAUUGGAUCGUUCUUAUCAUGCAUUGUGUCUGCUCUGUUACAUACUCCGUCAGUCUUAAUGUAACUAGUGUGGAUUGGUUCACACCUUCAAGAGAACUAAGGUAAGGGGAUCCUCUCAGUCCAUAUUUGUUCUUUAUUUGUGCUGAAGGGUUUUCGCUGCUCAUUCAGGAAGCUAAAGCUAAAGGGAUGAUGAUGGGGGCACUUAUAGGUAGAGAGAAAUUUUCGAUCAACCAUUUAUUCUUUGCGAAUGACUGUAUUCUUUUUGGUGAUGCCUCUUGUGAAGGAACAGAAGUGGUUUGGGCCAUUAUUCACGAAUAUGAAAUGGUCUCGGGGCAAAAAGUGAAUUUUGAAAAAUCCCUCAUUUUUUUCGGUGCAAAUGUCGAUUCUAGUGUUCAGGAGAAUAUUGUUAAUUUGCUAGGGGCUCGUCUGGCCUCAAAUCCCGAGAAGUAUCUCGAUUUGCCUAUGAUGGUGGGUAGGAGGAAGAAGUGGGCUUUUGCUAAUUUUGUGGACCGAUUCAGAAAACGGGUUGAGGGAUGGAGUAUGCGUUAUCUUUUAAUGGGGGUAAGGAGGUUUUCAUAAAGUCAGUUUUGCAGGCAACUUCAAUUUAUGCUAUGCAGUGUUUCUUAUUGCCAAAGUCAUUAUGCAAAACAUUGGAAGGCAUAAUGAAUCGGUUCUGGUGGACGAAUAACAAAACCUCGAAGGGGAUCCAUUGGAGUUCUUGAGAUGUUCUAUGUAAACCGAAAUGUUUUGGAGGGCUGGGGUUUAAAAAUUUAUUCUUGUUUAAUAAGGCCCUUUUAGCGAAGCAGGUGUGGCGUAUUUUAACCCAGCCCCAUUGUUUGUUAGCCAAGGUUUUAAAAGCCUGGUACUUCCCUCUUUCCACUAUACUAACAACAAAGUUUGGUUCUUACCCUUCAUUUACCUGGAGGAGUAUCUGGAGGAGUAUUUGUAGUGCGCGGGAGCUGAUCAGUGAUGGAAUUUUGUGGCGUGUGGGAAAUGGUGCAGGUAUCAAUAUUUGGAAUGACCCCUGGUUACCUGGAAGGGAGAACAACAGAAUCCCAGUUCAUGAAAUUAAGCCUUCUUGGUCAACAGUGAAUCAGUUAAUGAAUGAAGAUGACAGUACCUGGAAUAGAGAGUUGAUUCACAAUCUAGUGGAUGAUGACACUGCAAAUCGAAUCUUUGCCAUUCCUAUCUCUGAAAGCCGACCAGAGGAUAAGAUGGUAUGGAAGUAUGAAGGCUCAGGUGAGUAUACUGUUAGGAGUGGGUAUCGAGUCCUUAUUACAGACUAUUUACAGAGCAAUUUACACAUGUCCUCUAGAGAUGAAAAAUACAAAAGUUUUUACAUGGAUCUAUGGGCUUUGCAUAUUCCGGAGAAAAUAAAAAUACAUGUAUGGAGGUUGUUUAAUAAUAUGGUGCCACAUUAUGGGAAUUUGGCACGUAGAACACUGUGUGAGGAGGCCGUAUGUCCACUGUGCGAGGAAGAUCUGGAAACCACAGUACAUUUGUUGGGAUAUUGUAGGGUCCUUCAAAAUGUAUGGAUGUCGUUGCAAGUUCAAUCUCCCCCUUUGGACGACUCCCUGGAUUAUAAGACUAUCUUUGUUAAAACAUUUCUUGAAGCAGAAGGUUGACAAAAAAGGUUUAUUGCUUUAUCUCUAUUUGGGAUUUAUCAGGGGCUAUGAGCGAGAUCUUUGGAUUGUUCGAGAGAAUAUAUGUGCUUCUACUGCUCUUAUGAGAAAUGAAGUUUGGAGGCCUCCUGACUAUGGUACUAUCAAAAUUAAUUUUGAUGCGUCGUAUAUUCCAGGAAAAAAACUAGCAACAAUAGCAGUCUUAGCCAGAAAUCACAGAGGGGAAGUUAUAGAGGCAGCCGCUUAUCUGGUGGAAGACGUGGAUGACGCAUUUGUGGCAGAAGCACGAGCUUGUGAAAGAGCGCUAAUCCUCGCUAGAAUAAAGGGCUUUCGACGGUUGAUUGUGGAAGGGGACUCCCUGACAGUCAUUAAAAAACUGAUUAAAAAUGAGGAAGAUAGAUCGAUUCUUAGGCCGAUUGUUCAUAGUAUUCAUAGGUUGCGCCAGGAUCUUGAUAAGGUCUCUUACAAGUUUGUAACCCGUUCGAUUAACGCUGCAGCCCAUGUCUUGGCAGUGGAAGGUCAGCAUAGGAGAGUGUGUGGGACCUGGGUUGAUGGGGUACCGUAGACUGUGCGUCUGGUGGUGGAGGAAGACUGGCUACGAUGGUGCCAACGAAUCUAAGAUCCAUAAUUUUCGCUUUGAGUUGGAGAAGGUUCAUUGAAUCUCUAAUGCUAUUUGCAAAGCGUUGCUGGCUCCUGGUUUCUGGUCGUUAAUACUGAGGACAUGGAGCCCUGCUGUGACUGAUAAUGGAGAUUGAAAAGUUUUGUUGCAGGCUCAUGCGUUUUCUGUUUAAUGCUGUUUCGAUAUUUUCUAGGCUUACUUUUAUUUUUCUUUUAUGCUGGACAGCUGUGGAUAUCUUUGUUGUCGUUUUCUUGACUGUUUGGUGGCCUUUCAGCUACUCCUUUUUGAGCCUGUUAAUUCUAAUAUCAGUCCUUUUCUCAAAAUCAUGGUUUGGAUCAAGUUUUGAAAUAUUUAUUAAAACGUGGAAAAGUAAGUAGAAUAAAAACCCUGGAAACAAGUUUCUUCUUGGAAAAUUGAUUACCGUAGAU